rnacentral:rRNA from 1 species
GACGAACGCUGGCGGCGUGCUUAACACAUGCAAGUCGAGCGGUAAGGCCCUUUCGGGGGUACACGAGCGGCGAACGGGUGAGUAACACGUGGGUGACCUGCCCUCAGCUCUGGGAUAAGCCUGGGAAACCGGGUCUAAUACUGGAUAUGACUCCAUGACGCAUGUUGUGGGGUGGAAAGCCUUGUGCGGCUGAGGAUGGGCCCGCGGCCUAUCAGCUUGUUGGUGGGGGAUGGCCUACCAAGGCGACGACGGGUAGCCGGCCUGAGAGGGCGACGGCCACACUGGGACUGAGACACGGCCCAGACUCCUACGGGAGGCAGCAGUGGGGAAUCUUGCGCAAUGGGCGAAAGCCUGACGCAGCGACGCCGCGUGAGGGAUGACGGCC